GGGUCAGUAGGUUGGUCGUGCCACCGGUACGUACUGGUCUCACUGAUUCCUCCUUCCUGAAGUACCGUAAUGCCAUUCAUUGGGUGUUGCGGGGAAACAGGACUGUUACUUUGAAAAAAUUAGAGUGUUUAAAGCAAGCUAACGCUUGAAUACAUUAGCAUGGAAUAAUGAAAUAGGACGAUCGAUCCUAUUUUGUUGGUUUCUAGGAUUGACGUA
rnacentral:rRNA from 1 species